GGGCUUGUAACUCAGUGGUAGAGUGCUCGCUUCGCAUGCGAGAAGUCGGGGGUUCAAUUCCCCUCAAGUCCA
rfam:Aspergillus parasiticus ST-1 395, whole genome shotgun sequence.